rnacentral:rRNA from 1 species
AUUUCUGUUAAUAAUUUAUAUAAAAUAUUUUGAUGAAUAUUUAUAUAAUAUUAACAUAAUUCAUAUUACUAUAUUUUUUAGUAUAUGAAAUUUUACUUUGAGAAAAUUAGAGUGCUUAAAGCAGGCAUAUGCCUUGAAUACUCCAGCAUGGAAUAAUAUUAAAGAUUUUUAUCUUUCUUAUUGGUUCUAGGAUAAGAAUAAUGAUUAAUAGGGACAGUUGGGGGCAUUUGUAUUUAACAGUCAGAGGUGAAAUUCUUAGAUUUGUUAAAGACAAACUAAUGCGAAAGCAUUUGCCAAGGAUGUUUUCAUUAAUCAAGAACGAAAGUUAGGGGAUCGAAGACGAUCAGAUACCGUCGUAGUCUUAACCAUAAACUAUGCCAACUAGAGAUUGGAGGUUGUUCCUUACUCCUUCAGCACCUUA